rnacentral:tRNA from 1 species
GUGGGUGUAGCUCAACUGGUUAGAGCACCUGUUUGUGGCACAGGAGGCUGUGGGUUCAAGUCCCAUCACUCACC